rnacentral:pre_miRNA from 1 species
GUAAUACUCCCUCCGUUCCAAAAUUCUUGUCUUAGAUUUGUCUAAAUACGGAUGUAUCAAGUCACGUUUUAGUAUUAGGUACAUCUGUAUCUAGACAAAUUUAAGACAAGAAUUUUGGGACGGAGGAAGUAUAAG